rnacentral:rRNA from 1 species
CACCGCGGUUAUACGAGUGACACAAAUUAAUAUUUCACGGCGUUAAGGGUGAUUAGAGAAAUAUCAUCUUAUCUAAAAUAAAGUUAAAACCCCACUAAGCUGUCAUACGCUUUCAUGUUUGGAAAAACCGUCUACGAAAGUGACUUUAAAAAAAUAGAAUUCUUGACCUCACGACAGUUAAGACC